AAGCAAUUUGCUCAUAGCCAUAGCUUUCUUGUGAAAGUAGGAUAUUAACCCAGGUGUCUUGGUGCUGGAGAACAGAACUGGCCAGAGUCCAUCCUGUCUCCCACCGGCAUCCCAUUACGAAAUGAACACAGAAAAGGCAGGUCUGCAAUGCCAACAUCUAGUAUCUAUCCCAAAGACCAGGGAGAAAGGAAGGAAAGAUUCUGGUUCUGUCCUCUUCCCCAAGGCAAGGCUGGCUGCCCUACCAACAGAGGCAAAGAGAAGAGUGUGCAAGGCUGGCUGCCCUCCCAACAGAGGCAAAGAGGAGUGUGUGUUGAAAUAUCCAUUGAAUCCCUGAGACAACUGGAUCCUGGCCCAUUGAAUCAUAAACUCAGCAGAAUCUCACAUCAUAACCCCAAAUGACCUGUUACUCACCAUGUGGCCCAGCUGUCUUCAAACUCACCAGCCUCCUGCCUUAGCCUUCUAAAUGCUUGGAUUACAGGCAUGACCCACCAUAACUGGCUUUGUUUUAGUUUCAGAGAAGAUGAAACUGAUGUGCGUCAAAAAGUUAUGGAGGCUGGGAAGACCUAGAAUGUGGCAUCACUAUUUGGUUAUUUAGAAAAUUGUUACCUCAAAAAUGACCUAGGGGUCCUUAGAAUAAUAACACACAGAAGAAUAGCCUCAUUUUUCUGUUGGGCCCAGGAAACCAUGCCGAUUACCGACCGAGCUCUCAAUGGAAAAAUGCAGUCGGCGUGAACCACGCACGAACACAGCAGAGAAAGAAGAAAACACACACCACGAGGAACCCUAAUAGGACAAUACAUUAUAAGUCACAGUGCUACGGAGAAACCCAGUAGCCACAUGGAAGCAGAGACCAUGCAUAUGCAUCUACUCCGCAGCUCUGUGAAUGUCAGCAGCUCCCACGGACUGGAGAUCCCGUGAGAUCCCGUGAGAUCUCACCCAUAGCCUCAUGGUACAUCCACUUGGUGUGCUGGGAGAGUCAGGAUGAGGACCUGAGAAGAACAGCAGCUUGAACCUGACUUCAUUUAACAGCCCACUGCCCUCUUGCCAAGAACCCAUCACAGACCUUCCCAGAAGAGAGGGAUGAGCCUCACCUAUGAAUAAGUCCUCAGAAACUCAAAUUUGAUUCUAAUGGAUUGUUUUCUCAGAAAGACUGAGCAUGUCCCCCCACAUCUCUGUCAUUUCCCACAGUAGUAACCUCUGCAGAUGCCACAUAGAAAACAAAACAAAACAAAAAAACAUGAGGUUGGUGGGCAGAUAGGCAGGGUAUAAACAAACAGCCUUGUAACCCAGAAGCUGUGUGAUAUACAGUAAACUUCACAACACUGAAAAGAUGUCCUAUCUGUUAAAAUGGGGUAAUAACAACUACCCGAAUGUUUAGGAAUAGAACUUCAAUAAAUGAUACAUUUUAUAGUACAGCAGACCAUCCUGUAAAGGUUUCAUCCUUCACUGUGGUGAUAAAUAUCCCAAACCACAUUGAAAAGCAUUGCAUCUACAUUUAUCUACACUGUAACUGUACUGUAAAUCAUGGGGGAGGGGAGAAUCAUAAAAACACCACCUGUCACCGUGUCAUUAAAGCAAGUUGGAAGUGAUACUUACAGAAACACAGCAAGAGCACCCCCAGUCACACAGUUCAAUCUCUUAGCAAGCGUUUUCUUUCUAGCCCAGUGGUUCUCAGUUUGGAAUUUUUGGCACUGCCUAGAGAUAGUUUUGUUGUUAAAACUGAGAAAAGAGCCGGGCGUGGUGGCACACGCCUUUAAUCCCAGCACUCAGGAGGCAGAGGCAGG
rnacentral:lncRNA from 1 species